AUCUACCACACAAGUUCACGGCCUGGGGAGUCUAGUGGAUUUGUUUGUGCACUCAAGCGUCUUACGCAUGUGAAAGCCACUAAUGAGUUAGAAAACCAAGUGGAGGACGUGUUAUCUUCUCCAUCACAUCUUGUCUGUGGUAUUUUCCACUAUCUCGUUUCUUAUCAGAACCAAAUGGAAUUUCAUUUUUUUUAUUCAAGCUCAAGCUGGUUGUGUUGGUAUGAAAACAAAGAGAGGAUCUGUGCUCAAGAUAAACAAGAAAUGAAUCACAACAGAUAAGAAGAAUGGGUGCUGAUUUGAUUUGGUGUUGAAUUCAAGUUGGGGUCUUAUGGGUGAUUUUUGUGUUCACAAAUCGAACAGAAUUUGGGGGUUUUGUUUAUCAACUGAAAUUGAGAGAUUUGUCUCAACAAAUCAAGCAGUGGGAGAAGAGAUGAGGUCAACAGCUACGGUUCUCUAUUGUAUAUUGGUUGAUUGAGGGAAUGGCGGUCUCUCUAAUUCCAUACAACAACCAUGUCACAACAGCCGAUCUGGGAGUUCAUUCCAUGAGCUCGAUCGAUGGAUUUUGGAGGUUUGUUCGGUGCCAAUUCGGUGUAAUUGAGGAAUGGAUUUGGGGUUCUCAUCUGAAGAAUAAAUUGGGUGUUGAUUACAGUGUCAAUUACUGAGAUUUGAAAUGUGAAUGAAGAUGGAAUCAAGCUUCAGAUCUUAUUGCUGGUGCAUCACAGAUAUCUAGCCGGUGGGUUAAUUUCAAUUGAAAUAAUUGGUACCAUCUUUGUUUACCGAUUUCAGUCGAAGUUGGUGGGUGUAUGCAAAUCUGCAGAUGUGAAUGGACACAAACGUAAAUGGAGAUGGAAUUUUGGGAUUUCGGCUGUGAACAAGGUUGGAUUCACAUUCAGUUUGGUAUGCAUACAAGGAGUAAGUGGAUUUGCAGAUGCAAAUGGAGAUGGUUGAGACUUGUAUCAACCUGUGAUUUGAAUUCCCAGUGAAGGUGUGGUCAUGGAGGCUGUUGUGGAUCUGCAUAUGUGAAUGGAAAUGGAGCUUCGUAUCCAAUGGUGAUUUUACAGCAAGAGUGUAAUGGUUACUAUGGGUUUAGUUGGUCUGCUUUGCAGACUAAUUGAAGACGAGUUGGACAGAGAAGAGCAAUUUUCGAUGUGCUAGAAUGGGAUGGAGAAUGAACUGGCAGUAUACAAGUUAAUUGAGAUGCUGGUGUUGGUUGCAGCCGUGGUGGAACUGCUGGUCAGUUUAGGAAGAGAGCUGUUCUAUCAAGUCAAAUGCAGGUAACUGAUUUCAGCUAUCUUUAGGCAGAAACUGGAGGAAGACCAAAUGAAGAGAUGAAUAUGGUUUGGUUCAGGUCUUUUUGGCAUGAAGAUAGGACUAACAGUGUUGAGCUAGAAGUCAGAGAACAAGUCACAGCAGUUGUGUAUAAAGGAGGACAAUAAUCAACAAAGAAGGGUACGACUGAAUACUGCAAUCUGAGUUCUCUUUUGCUUACUAUUUUUAAUUCAGUUCUUUUUUGUUCUCUUGGGUGUUAGAGUUUUUGAUUCAAUACUUUUAAUGGCUAUCUACACAACAAUGAGAAGCUAAACCCCUCUCUGCCAAGACAAGAGGGGAAGCUUAAUGGUUCAAUGUUCUUAAGUUAUCAUCAAUAAAUCAUUUUAAUGCUUAGUCCA